rnacentral:lncRNA from 10 species
CUGGACUUGGCCAGUGGGACUUUGGAGCACAUGAUGCAAACACAGCGCAGCCAGCAGGAUGCAAGCAUUGUUCAAGGGAGGGAGCACAAGACCCCAGAGCUUGGCCGCUUGGGACACAGCUGUGAGCCUCCAUUCUGCAAAGAAGCUUGGAGAGAAAGGCCUUGCAAAGAAGAGGAACAGCAUCCGCUAUGCCCGAUGCACUCAGUGUGCAGGUGAGCCCUUCGUCCUGCCAGCCAGCACACUGACUGCAGCUGCAGUGUGAGCCCAGGCUUCACACACAGGUCUAAGCAGAAAACUCACAGGUGUGUGGAAAAUAACCAGGCAUUGUUGGUUUAAGCUGCUAACGUUGGGGCAUGCCAUGUUGGCCAUGAUAACAGAAGGCAAAUCGUCAGCGGAAGGCCACAGGAAUAACUCAAACA